UACGGAGGGGGCGAGUGUUGUUCGGAAUCACUGGGCGUAAAGAGCACGUAGGCGGAUUAGCAAGUCUAGGGUCAAAGGUAGCGGCUCAACCGUUAUAAGGCCUUAGAUACUGUUAGUCUAGAGUAUUAGAGAGGGAUGCGGAAUUCCCGGUGUAGCGGUGAAAUGCGUAGAUAUCGGGAGGAAGGCCGGUGGCGAAGGCGGCCUCCUGGGCCUGCACUGACGCUGAGGCGCGAAAGCGUGGGGAGCAAACAGG
rnacentral:rRNA from 1 species